UCGGACAUGGUGUACGGUACACCGCCUCCUUCGCUUGUUGUGAGCCAGCUUGUGGCUAUGGAAUGCGCCGAGGCAGAUCGGGGUUCGACUCCCCGUGUCCGAA